AUUGAACGCUGGCGGCAUGCCUUACACAUGCAAGUCGAACGGCAGCACGGGUGCUUGCACCUGGUGGCGAGUGGCAAACGGGUGAGUAAUACAUCGGAACGUACCUUAUCGUGGGGGAUAACGCAGCGAAAGCUGUGCUAAUACCGCAUACGCCCUGAGGGGGAAAGCGGGGGAUCGCAAGACCUCGCGCGAUUAGGGCGGCCGAUGCCUGAUUAGCUUGUUGGUGGGGUAAAAGCCCACCAAGGCGACGAUCAGUAGCUGGUCUGAGAGGACGAUCAGCCACACUGGGACUGAGACACGGCCCAGACUCCUACGGGAGGCAGCAGUGGGGAAUUUUGGACAAUGGGGGCAACCCCGAUCCAGCAAUGCCGCGUGAGUGAAGAAGGCCUUCGGGUUGUAAAGCUCUUUUGUCAGGGAAGAAACACCGGCUCUAACACAGUCCGGGAAUGACGGUACCUGAAGAAUAAGCACCGGCUAACUACGUGCCAGCCGCCGCGGUAA
rnacentral:rRNA from 1 species